rnacentral:rRNA from 1 species
UGGGUAGUCCGCACGAGCGCACCCUGUCUCUAGUUGCCAUCAGUUCGGCUGGGCACUCUAGGGAGACUGUCGGUUAUAAGCCGGAGGAAGGUGGGGACGACGUCAAGUCAUCAUGGCCUCUAUGCCCAGGGCUACACACGUGCUACAAUGGCCGGCACAAAGGGCUGCGAACCCGUGAGGGGGAGCCAAUCCCAAAAAUCCGGUCCCAGUUCGGAUUGAAGUCUGCAACUCGACUUCAUGAAGUUGGAAUCGCUAGUAAUCGUGGAUCAGCAAUGCCACGGUGAAUACGUUCCCGGGCCUUGUACACACCGCCCGUCACAUCACGAAAGCCGGGUGUACUAGAAGUCGCCGACCCAACCUUCGGGAGGGAGGCGCCGACGGUGUGCUCGGUGAUUGGGGUGAAGUCGUAACAAGGUAGCUGUAGGAGAACCUGCGGCUGGAUCACCUCCUUUCU